GCCCCGCUGGCUCAAUGGUAGAGCAUUAGACUUCUAAUCUAAAGGUUGCGGGUUCGACCCCCGCGUGGGGUU
rnacentral:tRNA from 1 species